CCGAGAGGCCGCGAGGUGAAAGACUAUCGUCGGAAAGGACCGACAGAAACCCUCUCUGAACGCUACCCGAGCAUCGGCGCUCGCCCUACGGCCCGGGGACUAGGUGGAACGUAGGGAGCGCCGCCACCCGGCCCACUGCCCCACGGCCACCUCUGCCUCCCGUCCCCCAGCCAGCUCUGAGGAGAGAACCCGGGGAAAGGUUUGCUUACCUGACAGAAAUGUACAGAAGAGGAAAGCGAGAGAGACAGGCAGCACUGCUGAGCCCCAAGGCACCUGUGAUUGACAGACGCCUCCUGCCAGGCUUCCGGUUCCAGUGACCCUUGUGCUCCUAGACCGUGGAAGACCACGAUGGGAAAGGCAGAAAAAGCCACCUCUCCAUCACCCACCAAAGCCGGGGACUGGCCCCCAGCUGUUUGUCGAGCCUCCCCCCAGUCAUCUGCCAGUGCAUUGCAGAGAUCAGUGCAACAGCAGCGCCCGGGGCAGUAACUGAAUCCCUUUCACCUUCGUCCGGAGACAGCCUGGGCGUCCUCAUACAGGUGCGCACCCAACGGGGUGGCCCGUAUCAGACACUGCUGCCAAAGCCGCCUCUUCCCCCGGCUGCCAGGUGCAUUCCUGCUCCGUGCGGGAGCUGUCAAUAUCCACCCGCCCUGCGCUCAGCCGGCCAGUGACUUCACCGCACCAGGAAGAGGAGGCGGGCGCUGGAGAGGGAAAGGUCUCUGCACUGACAUGCCGGAUCAGCGGGGGGAGAGGGGAUAGAGAUGCCAGAAGAGCAGAGCUAACCGAGCUCUGGGGGCAAUACGGGAACGCCUGCCUGCGUGGCUAGGGGACUGCAGACGAUGGCCGUGCCAAUCGGCGGCUGCUCUGUGCACAAAGCUCCGGGAAUCUUGCCAAUGCAGCGCGACGGCCACACCUAGGUUGGACAUUCACAUCGUGCUCCGGACACAGGCGAGCUUCAGGCAGAAAGGCAAAUGGGCCCAGGUCAGAGCCCGUCUCCAGGCCCCGUGUGCACCAAGCCCCUUGCAAACCACAUUUGGAAAUGGAUAGAGGGGAAAUUUUCAAAUGCCUCCAAAUGACCAAUGAGCCAAAACCCCACUGACUGGCAGUGACAUGGACUCCCAGGCGCCUGCGGGGCUUUUGAAAAUGAGAGAUAGGCUCUUAAAUCACUUGGGUGCUUUGGUCAAUUUCAUCUGAGCCCAUUUUCAGAAGUGCCGAGUCCCACAGAAAGUCAGUGGGCUUCAGGCUUCCGCGGCCCAGAACCUCAAAGCCUAACACCCACUGCAAUCAGUGGGAGACAGGCACCUAUAUACCUUGGAGGAUCUGGGCCCUAAGUGACUUAGGAGCCUUUGUAGAGGUUACCCAGAGGCUCUGCUUAGCCAUA